UACGGGGGGGGCUAGCGUUGUUCGGAAUUACUGGGCGUAAGGGGCGCGUAGGCGGCCUACUAAGUCGGACGUGAAAUCCCUCGGCUCAACCGGGGAACUGCGUCCGAUACUGGUGGGCUCGAAUCCGGGAGAGGGAUGUGGAAUUCCAGGUGUAGCGGUGAAAUGCGUAGAUAUCUGGAGGAACACCGGUGGCGAAGGCGGCAUCCUGGACCGGUAUUGACGCUGAUGCGCGAAAGCCAGGGGAGCAAACGGG
rnacentral:rRNA from 1 species